AUACGGAGGAUCCGAGCGUUAUCCGGAUUUAUUGGGUUUAAAGGGAGCGCAGGCGGAGAUGCAAGCGUGACGUCAAAUUUCGGGGCUCAACCCCGUCUCGCGUCGCGAACUGCGUCCCUUGGUUGCGGGAAGGGGAGGCGGAACUCGUGGUGUAGCGGGGAAAUGCAUAGAUAUCACGAAGAACUCCGAUCGCGAAGGCAGCCUUCCGGCCCGUCAACGACGCUCAUGCUCGAAGGUGCGGGUAUCAAACAGGAUUAGAUACCCUGGUAGUCCACGCAGUAAACGAUGAUAACUAACCGCUGGUGCGCAAGUAUCAGUGGCCAAGCGAAAGCGAUAAGUUAUCCACCUGGGGAGUACGACCGCAAGGUUGAAACUCAAAGGAAUUGACGGGG
rnacentral:rRNA from 1 species